rnacentral:rRNA from 1 species
GCCUACGGGAGGCAGCAGUGGGGAAUUUUGCGCAAUGGGGGAAACCCUGACGCAGCAACGCCGCGUGAGUGAUGAAGGCCCUUGGGUCGUAAAGCUCUGACAGAGGGAAAGAAAUGCAGAGUGGCUAAUAUCCACACUGCUUGACGGUACCCUCAAAGGAAGCACCGGCUAACUCCGUGCCAGCAGCCGCGGUAAUACGGGGGGUGCAAGCGUUGUUCGGAUUUAUUGGGCGUAAAGCGCGUGUAGGCGGUUUUAUAAGUCUGAUGUGAAAGCCCUGGGCUCAACCCGGGAAGUGCAUUGGAUACUGUAAGACUUGAAUACGGGAGAGGGCAGUGGAAUUCCUAGUGUAGGAGUGAAAUCCGUAGAUAUUAGGAGGAACACCGGUGGCGAAGGCGGCUGCCUGGACCGAUAUUGACGCUGAGACGCGAAAGCGUGGGUAGCAAACAGGAUUAGAUACCCCGGU